CCCGCUACUACACGUCACAGGCUUGGCUCUGGAAAUAUAUACAUAUUUCUAUACGUACACAAAAAAUAUCACAGAACAACAGAUUAUAUAAUGUAUUCAUAGGGACGCUGAUACACAGAAGAGGUUUGCCCUUUGGUCUCUGGUCAUCAGACCACAGCUCCCUCAGGCCCUGCCUCCACCAAAGACCCUGAUUGCCAACUGCACGCAUUUAAAUCUGAAGACUCCUCUCCGUAUACCUGAUAACAAAAAGUCACUAUCAGAAAGAAUGAAUUCUGCAGUUGAUGGAUGUAUCGUAAAACUUAUAGAGGUGCUAGCUGACUGCUCUGGAGGUUACUCAGCUGAAUACCUGAAAUUUGUUGUGCAUGUUUCCAGAAGUUUUCUGAAAAUAUAACCUGUUUCUGUUGAGCUUGAAGACAUCAAGGGCAAAUCCCAAGCCUGUAUGAGAGGGGGGAAAGAAGUGGAACGUCAUGGACGUUGCAGGAACUCGGUAUGACUUGUUUUCUUAAUUCAUUUUCUUGGAGGGGAAAAAAAAUUAUUGUAACUGUUGUCAGUCUGGCAAGGUUUAAGAUCCGUCCUAUGCUCGGAGUUGUCAAGUUUAAGCCACUACAGGC
rnacentral:lncRNA from 1 species